rnacentral:rRNA from 1 species
UAAUACAUGCAAGUCGAACGCGUCUCCGUUAAUGAUUUUAGGUGCUUGCACUUGAAAGAUUUAACAUUGAGACGAGUGGCGAACUGGUGAGUAACACGUGGGUAACCUGCCCUUGAAGUAGGGGAUAACACUUGGAAACAGGUGCUAAUACCGUAUAACAACCAAAACCACCUGGUUUUGGUUUAAAAGACGGCUUCGGCUGUCACUUUAGGAUGGACCCGCGGCGUAUUAGCUUGUUGGUAAGGUAACGGCUUACCAAGGCGAUGAUACGUAGCCGACCUGAGAGGGUAAUCGGCCACAUUGGGACUGAGACACGGCCCAAACUCCUACGGGAGGCAGCAGUAGGGAAUCUUCCACAAUGGACGAAAGUCUGAUGGAGCAACGCCGCGUGAGUGAUGAAGGGUUUCGGCUCGUAAAACUCUGUUGUUGGAGAAGAACAGGUGUCAGAGUAACUGUUGACAUCUUGACGGUAUCCAACCAGAAAGCCACGGCUAACUACGUGCCAGCAGCCGCGGUAAUACGUAGGUGGCAAGCGUUGUCCGGAUUUAUUGGGCGUAAAGCGAGCGCAGGCGGUUUUUUAGGUCUGAUGUGAAAGCCUUCGGCUUAACCGGAGAAGUGCAUCGGAAACCGGGAGACUUGAGUGCAGAAGAGGACAGUGGAACUCCAUGUGUAGCGGUGAAAUGCGUAGAUAUAUGGAAGAACACCAGUG